AUUUGACCGCCGCCGGGUGGUUUACUUUAGAGAGCGCAGGCUCACAUCGUUAGGCCUUAGAAGAUGUGAGGUCAGGCGCUUUUCGUAU
rnacentral:ncRNA from 1 species